rnacentral:rRNA from 1 species
UCCGGUUGAUCCUGCCAGAGGCCGCUGCUAUCCGGCUGGGACUAAGCCAUGCUAGUCUAGGGGCUUGUACCCCUUCGGGGGUGCAAGCACCGGCGGACGGCUCAGUAACACGUGGACAACCUGCCCUCGGGUGGGGGAUAACCCCGGGAAACUGGGGCUAAUCCCCCAUAGGUGAUGGGUGCUGGAAUGCCCCAUCUCCGAAAGCGCUCAGCGCCCGAGGAUGGGUCUGCGGCGGAUUAGGUAGUUGGUGGGGUAACGGCCCACCAAGCCUAAGAUCCGUACGGGCUGUGGGAGCAGGAGCCCGGAGAUGGACCCUGAGACAAGGGUCCAGGCCCUACGGGGCGCAGCAGGCGCGAAACCUCCGCAAUGCGGGAAACCGCGACGGGGUUAGCCGGAGUGCCCGUGCAUUGCACGGGCUGUCGGGGUGCCUAAACAGCACCCCAUAGCAAGGGCCGGGCAAGGCCGGUGGCAGCCGCCGCGGUAAGACCGGCGGCCCGAGUGGCGGCCACUCUUAUUGGGCCUAAAGCGUCCGUAGCCGGCCCAGUAAGUCCCCCGGGAAAUCUGGUCGCUUAACGAUCAGACUUCCGGGGGAUACUGCUGGGCUAGGGACCGGGAGAGGCCGAGGGUAUUCCCGGGGUAGGGGUGAAAUCCUGUAAUCCCG